AACGAACGCUGGCGGCAUGCCUAACACAUGCAAGUCGAACGCUCCGCAAGGGGAGUGGCGAACGGGUGAGUAACGCGUGGGAACCUGCCCAGUAGUUGGGGAUAACCGCGGGAAACUGCGGCUAAUACCGAAUACGCCCUAAGGGGGAAAGAUUUAUCGCUAUUGGAGGGGCCCGCGUCGGAUUAGCUGGUUGGUGAGGUAACGGCUCACCAAGGCGACGAUCCGUAGCUGGUCUGAGAGGANGAUCAGCCACACUGGGACUUAGACACCGGCCCAGACUCCUACGGGAGGCAGCAGUGGGGAAUAUGGACAAUGGGGCAACCCUGAUCCAGCAAUGCCGCGUGAGUGAUGAAGGCC
rnacentral:rRNA from 1 species